rnacentral:rRNA from 1 species
GACGUAGGGCGCGAGCGUUGUCCGGAAUUAUUGGGCGUAAAGAGCUCGUAGGCGGCUUGUCGCGUCGGCUGUGAAAACCUGGGGCUCAACCCCGGGCCUGCAGCCGAUACGGGCAAGCUAGAGUUCGGUAGGGGAGACUGGAAUUCCUGGUGUAGCGGUGAAAUGCGCAGAUAUCAGGAGGAACACCGGUGGCGAAGGCGGGCUCUGGGCCA